GGGGUGUCGGUACAGAGUCAAUGUGGAGGCUAUAUAUAGGGGGUGCCGGUACAGAGUCAAUGUGGAGGCUAUAUACAGGGGGGUGCCGGUACAGAGUCAAUGUGGAGGCUAUAUAUAGGGGGUGUCGGUACAGAGUCAAUGUGGAGGCUAUAUACAAGGGGGUACUGGUACAGAGUCAAUGUGGAGGCUAUAUACAGGGGGUACCGGUACAGAGUCAAUGUGGAGGCUAUAUACAGGGGGUGUCGGUACAGAGUCAAUGUGGAGGCUAUAUACAGGGGGUACUGGUACAGAGUCAAUGUGGAGGCUAUAUACAGGGGGUACCGGUACAGAGUCAAUGUGGAGGCUAUAUACAGGGGUACCG
ensembl:lncRNA